AGUGGGUUGCUUUCUGGGAUCCCUCACCUGCAGUGCAAGAGGAUGUACAGACAAGACUCCAUCUGCCCAGGGCAGCUUUCCUGAGCCUUGAGGGACCAGCUUACAAUGGACCUUAGGCUUCCGUUGUUCCUGGCUACGUUUCUGAAGGACACCUGAGGCACAUGCUCUUCACUGGCACCCAGGCUACUAUAGUAGAAUUGAGUGUCAGUUGUCCACAGAGAACAGAGAAGGCAGGAGCACCUUUGCUGAGUCAAUAAGGAUACCACCUGCCUACGAACCACGGAUGCCAUUCUUGAACAUUCUUCUCAGCCCUUAAAUGCAUGUAAAUUAUAUGACAUUGUGUUGAAUACAUAUAAUUGUCUUUGUGGCUCUCUGUGGUUAACUAAAUUGUAGGUAUUGUUCUUGUUCUUAUGUAUUCAUUAGGACAGGUAAAUUAAUUUAAGCUGUGGUGUAAACAAGAAAAAAUGGAAUGACUUCAGAAAAGCAGCCAUUUCUUACACAGUGUAUCUAUCAGUUCCAAUCAUUUUCAGAGGGAGAGUCCUCCAAAAAUAAUUUUUUUUUUUUUUUUUUGCUACAGAAGGAUAGUUGAAAAGUAUCCUCAAAUACAAGGUCAGGUUAAUGCUUGUGCAACAUACAGAAAGAGUGGAUAAAAGAGCCUUGGAUGAAUGAACAAAUCACGCAGGUGUAAAGCACUUAGACAGAGGUGAUAACAUGAGCCAAAUGUUUACUUUUGAAAUGACUUUCUUCUCUAAAUUAUAACGAUGGGAAAUAAGAAAAACACCCCAAAGCAGGUAAUAUUCCAGCAUACUAUUUUUAAUAUCUCUGACAUAUAAGAUUGUGUAGGAAGGCAAUACAAAGCCUAGCUAGGAAGAAGAAAAGAGGAUUAAUUUUGUAAAGGAGACAUAAUAAUGCCACAGGUUUAAUUUAUCUCAAGCAAUGUCAUCCAGCUAAAGCAGGAAACAAUUAUGAUACAGAACGUUGAACGUGGACUAAUCAUUUUAAUGACUAAUGGAAAAAGCUAUAAUAGAUUUUUCACCCAGAAAUUUAUAGAGUUAAGUAACACCACAGUUGCCUUCGUACCACUCUCCCCAGUUCAUUUCGGCACAGGAACUUGGCAACAGUCAAAGUCCUCUGCCUUUAGCUACCACUCACUGAAAAAGCAACAUUUCAAACCACAAAAACACUCAUGUUAACACCUUCUGACAACUUAAUGAAAAGGUAGCAACUGACUCACAACUUAUUAUCAAAUGUGGAAAAGCACGCUCUAGAAGGAAACUUUCAACAGCUCAUCCAUCAUCCAACAAACCUUCACAGAGUACAGUAUUUUCUGUCAAGCAGUGUGUCCAGAAAUGAGAAAGGGGUUGAAUACAGGGUAGAAUUCUUCCCAGGAUAUGCCCCUUGUAAUAAAAUAGAUUACUAAUCAGAUAUAAAACACAGUGACAUAGGGGCCAGAAGAAAGAAACGCCCAGGAGACUGUAGGAACUCAGGACAGGACUAACCAGUGGGUGGGUCAGAGGAGAUUCCUGGAUAUGCCAAUGCCUGGAAUGAGAGAACCUGGAAACUCAGAGAAACUGAGCAUCCCAAGUUCACCUGAAAUGGGAAGUUAACAUGUGGGGCUGGAAAGAGGUGCCUGAGAAGGUAGGCAAGGGCAAAUCUUGUGGGCCUUAUUUGCCAGUGCUAAGCAGCUUGGGUUUGUUUAACAGGCAAAGGGGACUCACUAAGAGAUUUUCAGCCAAGGGGAGAGAUCGGGGAGAAUCGUGUGGAGUGUAAGAUUUAAAAUUUAGGGAGACCAGCCUGGAAGCAGGGAGAGAAUGGAUUGCAGAGGUAACUGAAUUAGCAAAACUGGGAAGUGGCUGCUACAGGAAUCCAGGUAACAGUAAUCUCAAAAUCAAUGAGAGCAUGAAUUAAGACGAUGCAGAGGGAUGUGAGAUGAGGGGGAAAAUUAAAAAAAUAUAUUUAGGAGACAGAAUCACUAGUAUUUGAUGAAUGAUAGAUGUGAGGUGUCAGUGAGGUAAGGGAAUCAAAGACUCUUCCAGGUUUCUAGCUUGCACUGUUAAUUGGGACAGUGUAUCAGAAUUGUUCCUCAAGACUGAAUGUGACAGACUCUGUACAUGCUGUAACAACAGUAUCUGAUGAUGUAAAUAUUGGAAAUAAAAAUUAUCAUGAC
rnacentral:lncRNA from 1 species